rnacentral:rRNA from 1 species
UACGAAGGGGGCUAGCGUUGCUCGGAAUCACUGGGCGUAAAGCGCACGUAGGCGGAUUGUUAAGUCAGGGGUGAAAUCCUGGAGCUCAACUCCAGAACUGCCUUUGAUACUGGCGAUCUCGAGUCCGGGAGAGGUGAGUGGAACUGCGAGUGUAGAGGUGAAAUUCGUAGAGUAUUCGCAAGAACACCAGUGGCUGAAGGCGGCUCACUGGCCCGGUACUGACGCUGAGGUGCGAAAGCGUGGGAG